AGAUCUCUCUUUCUUUCUUUGUUUUCUGUUUCUUUGUUCAUGAAGGAAGGGGAAACCGUGGGUGAAAGGGGAGACAAGGCAUGGUUUCGGCUGCUGUUUGCUAUUGCUAAAC